AGUGAACGCUGGCGGCAUGCCUAACACAUGCAAGUCGAACGGUAACACGUCUAGGGCUUCCUCCUAGGGGUGGCGGGGGGCGUACUACAUCGGAAUGUAUCCGAUCCUGCUGGAUCGCGGGGGGUAACGUUUGCUAAUAUCGCAUACGAUCUCAUGCUACCAACGGGGGAACUCAGGAGCUCGUGCGGCCUUGCCGGCCGAUGGCAGCCUAAGUCGGAGUAGGUAGUUGGGAGGGUAAAGGCCCAACAAUGCGACGAGUCGUAGGCGGUCUUAGAGGAUGAUCAGGCACAAUGGGACUGAGAAAAGGCCCAGACUCCUACGGGAGGCAGCAGUUGGGAAUUUUUGGCAAUGGGCGAAAGCCCUAACCAGCCAUGCCGCGUGCGGGAUGAAGGGCUUCGGGUUGUAAAAGGCUUUUUGUCGGGACGAAAAACCUCUUGCUUAAUAAGACAGGUUUUGACGGUACCGCAAGAAUAAGCACCGGCUAACUACGUG
rnacentral:rRNA from 1 species